AUGGAAAUGAUGAUUAUUUCCCCAGAUGAUCGAAGUUGAUUAUACUGUGCGCUAUUUUUACAUUCUCUUUUUCUUUUUAAGAAAAGAGAAUCCAAGCCAGAAAUCUGAUCCAU